rnacentral:lncRNA from 10 species
AAGAACAUUAUUUUCUCAAAUCAGAAUCUGGGCAUACUGUGUUCAAUGUCCCUGGUCUAAAAGAAGCAUUAAGUUAUGCUAUGAAAAAGCAUAAAACGCAGUGAUUUUUGGUCUUGAACAUUCUCUUUAAUUUGGAAUCUAAAGGCUUUUGGAAGCAGUUUUGUAUAGUAUAAGGUAUGCAGACAGAAGAGAGUCAGGAGGCCUCAGAGCCACCAGUCCCUUCCCGUGUGAUGUGGAAUGAAUCAUUUGGGAAAAUAUCUGAGUGCUUGAGGUCAAAGCCUCUGGAAUCAGACUCCCUGGACUUAAACCCCAUCUUCAGUACUUAGAACCUUGGGCAAGUUACUUAAUCUCAGUUAAGUAUAAGGACAUCAGUAUUCAUCUA